rfam:Microbacterium sp. STBG005 Ion018_assembly_rep_c3755, whole genome shotgun sequence.
UGGGUCGGCUGGACGGUCGCGUCACGGGUUCGCCCGUGCCGAGGACGUCCGGGCUCCACAGGGCAGGACGGUGGGUAACACCCACCCGGAGUGAUCCGCGAGACAGUGCCACAGAGAGCACGACCGCCCCCGCCCGUCAGGGGUGGUAAGGUGAAAGGGUGGUGUAAGAGACCACCGGGGUCGUGGUGACACGACCCGCGAGGUAAACCUCGUCCGGAGCAAGGCCAGACAGGGGAUGACGACGCGGCUCGCCGAGUCCCCGGGUAGGCCGCUGGAGCGGCACGGCAACGUGUCGCCGAGAGAGAUGACCGUCCACGGGGCUCACGCCCCCGGACAGAACCCGGCGUACAGGCCGG